rnacentral:rRNA from 1 species
AACGAACGCUGGCGGCAUGCCUAACACAUGCAAGUCGAACGAAGGCUUCGGCCUUAGUGGCGCACGGGUGCGUAACGCGUGGGAAUCUGCCCUUGGGUUCGGAAUAACUCAGAGAAAUUUGAGCUAAUACCGGAUGAUGACGUAAGUCCAAAGAUUUAUCGCCCAAGGAUGAGCCCGCGUAAGAUUAGCUAGUUGGUGGGUUAAAGGCCUACCAAGGCGACGAUCUUUAGCUGGUCUGAGAGGAUGAUCAGCCACACUGGGACUGAGACACGGCCCAGACUCCUACGGGAGGCAGCAGUGGGGAAUAUUGGACAAUGGGCGAAGGCCUGAUCCAGCAAUGCCGCGUGAGUGAUGAGGGCCUUAGGGUUGUAAAGCUCUUUUACCAGGGAUGAUAAUGACAGUACCUGGAGAAUAAGCUCCGGCUAACUCCGUGCCAGCAGCCGCGGU